UUUUAUCACACCAGAAGUGGGUUCCUAGGUCUCUGUUUCAGGAUUCCUGAGUUACACACGUAUAAACCCAGGAUUUCAGGAGAUACCCGGUUAAGAAUCCGGUCGGGGAGGUGGGCUGGCCCUUGACAUGGAUAAGUCACAAAUUAGUGGCUUAGGACUCCAGGAAGAUAAAAUCUUCCCCAUUUAUCUAGUGAUUGACAAUGCGUGAAUACUUUAAAAGCUCGAACAAGCGUCCCUGGGUGGGCUGGAACCACCAACCUUGCGGUUAACAGCCGAACGCGCUAACCGAUUGCGCCACAGAGACAGGUACUGUCAGUUCUACUGGGCGCUAUAGGAAGGGCGCACGCACGAAACUUCCUCCGUCCCUUGCAUCCUCAGGGCCCUCCCAGCAGGACGACUGAGCAAGGCCUUGGAAGACCGGAGAGAUUGGAGCGAAUGGGGAGGAAUUGAGGGGAAAAUGGAGAUAGAACCUGAAAGAGCCCCAAACGCCAGAACCUGUAGCUCCCCAAGAAUAAGAUCUUCCAGAAGAACUAGACCCAAAACUAGCCGUUGGGGAACACCGAAAUCCUUGGAGGAGCAACAUCCGCAUGACCCUUUGUGUUCCUUUAGGCAAAAGGACUUGCUUCCAUUGUUUGUUCAAUUGUUUGUGUUUGUUAAAUAAAUAAAACGAUUUUCAUGUAUCUUUGAAAUUA
rnacentral:tRNA from 1 species